UACGGAAGGCAGCAGUGGGGAAUAUUGCACAAUGGGCGCAAGCCUGAUGCAGCCAUGCCGCGUGUAUGAAGAAGGCCUUCGGGUUGUAAAGUACUUUCAGUCGUGAGGAAGGUGUUAAGGUUAAUAACCUUAGCAAUUGACGUUAGCGACAGAAGAAGCACCGGCUAACUCCGUGCCAGCAGCCGCGGUAAUACGGAGGGUGCGAGCGUUAAUCGGAAUUACUGGGCGUAAAGGGCACGCAGGCGGUUAAUUAAGUUGGAUGUGAAAUCCCCGGGCUUAACCUGGGAAUGGCAUUCAAGCUGGUUAGCUAGAGUCUUGUAGAGGGGGUAGAAUUCCAUGUGUAGCGGUGAAAUGCGUAGAGAUGUGGAGGAAUACCGGUGGGCGAAGGGCGGCCCCUGGGACAAAGACUGACGCUCAUGUGCGAAAGCGGUGGGGAGCAAACGAGGGAUUAGAUU
rnacentral:rRNA from 1 species